rnacentral:rRNA from 1 species
UACGUAGGGGCCAAGCGUUGUCCGGAGUUACUGGGCGUAAAGCGUGCGCAGGCGGCUCGUUGCGCCCGACGUGAAAGCCCCCGGCUCAACCGGGGAGGGUCGUCGGGGACGGGCGAGCUUGAGGGUAUCAGGGGCUGGUGGAACUCCCGGUGUAGUGGUGAAAUGCGUAGAGAUCGGGAAGAACACCCGUGGCGAAGGCGGCCAGCUGGGAUACACCUGACGCUGAGGCACGAAGGCGUGGGGAGCGAACGGG